rnacentral:siRNA from 1 species
UGCGUGGGUGCCAUCGUUCUUC